rnacentral:rRNA from 1 species
AACAGGAUUAGAUACCCUGGUAGUCCACGCCGUAAACGAUGUCGACUUGGAGGUUGUGCCCUUGAGGCGUGGCUUCCGGAGCUAACGCGUUAAGUCGACCGCCUGGGGAGUACGGCCGCAAGGUUAAAACUCAAAUGAAUUGACGGGGGCCCGCACAAGCGGUGGAGCAUGUGGUUUAAUUCGAUGCAACGCGAAGAACCUUACCUACUCUUGACAUCCAGAGAACUUAGCAGAGAUGCUUCGGUGCCUUCGGGAACUCUGAGACAGGUGCUGCAUGGCUGUCGUCAGCUCGUGUUGUGAAAUGUUGGGUUAAGUCCCGCAACGAGCGCAACCCUUAUCCUUUGUUGCCAGCGGUUAGGCCGGGAACUCAAAGGAGACUGCCAGUGAUAAACUGGAGGAAGGUGGGGAUGACGUCAAGUCAUCAUGGCCCUUACGAGUAGGGCUACACACGUGCUACAAUGGCAUAUACAAAGAGAAGCGACCUCGCGAGAGCAAGCGGACCUCAUAAAGUAUGUCGUAGUCCGGAUUGGAGUCUGCAGCUCGACUCCAUGAAGUCGGAAUCGCUAGUAAUCGUGGAUCAGAAUGCCACGGUGAAUACGUUCCCGGGCCUUGUACACACCGCCCGUCACACCAUGGGAGUGGGUUGCAAAAGAAGUAGGUAGCUUAACCUUCGGGAGGGCGCUUACCACUUUGUGAUUCAUGACCGGGGUGAAGUCGUAACAAGGUAACC